rnacentral:rRNA from 1 species
AUUGAACGCUGGCGGCAGGCCUAACACAUGCAAGUCGAGCGAGCGGCGGACGGGUGAGUAAUGUAUGGGGACUGCCCGAUGGAGGGGGAUAACUACUGGAAACGGUGGCUAAUCCCGCAUACUAUCAGAUUACCCAUAUGGGAUUAGCUAGUAGGUGAGGUAAAGGCUCACCUAGGCGACGAUCCCUAGCUGGUCUGAGAGGAUGAUCAGCCACACUGGGACUGAGACACGGCCCAGACUCCGACGGAGGCAGCAGUGGGGAAUAUUGCACAAUGGGCGCAAGCCUGAUGCAGCCAUGCCGCGUGUAUGAAGAAGGCCUUAGGGUUGUAAAGUACUUUCAGUCGGGAGGCGUUACCGGCAGAAGAAGCACCGGCUAACUCCGUGCCAGCAGCCGCGGUAAUUC